GUUUGGUCCUAGCCUUAUCCUCAGCUUCUACUCAACUUACACAUGCAAGUAUCCGCACACCCGUGAAAACGCCCCCACCCCUCUAGCAGAACAAGGAGCCGGUAUCAGGCACAGACCACUCUUGCCCAUAACACCUAGCCAUGCCACGCCCCCAAGGGUAUUCAGCAGUGAUAAACAUUGCCCAUUAGCGUCAGCUUGACCCAGUUAAAGUAGAUAGAGCCGGCCAAUUCGGUGCCAGCCGCCGCGGCUACCCCGCUUGGCUCAAGUUGACAUCGCCGGCGUUAAGCGUGAUUAAAGUAACCAAUAUACUAGAAUUAAACCCCAACCAAGUUGUGAAACACUUGCUUACAAGAAACCCCCACGAAAGUUAUUCUAACCCACUUGAACCCACGACAGCUAGAACACAAACUGGGAUCAGGUACCCCACUAUGCCUAGCCGUAAAAUAUCUACUUACAUCUUCAACCGCCAGGGAAUUACGAGCCCAAUCUUAAAACCCAAAGGACUUGACGGUGUCCCACCCACCUAGAGGAGCCUGUUCUAUAAUCGACACCCCCCGAUAUACCUCACCACUUCUAGCAUUCUCAGUCUGUAUACCUCCGUCGCAAGCUUACCAUAUGAACGCAAGUGAGCUAAAAGAUUCUUACAUCCACACGUCAGGUCAAGGUGCAACCAACGAAGCGGAAAGCAAUGGGCUACAAUCUCUACCAGUAGAACACACGAAAAACUGCAUGCAACACAGUCAUGAAGGUGGAUUUAGCAGUAAAAAGAAAAUAGAGAGUUCUUUUUAACCAGGCACUGGGACGCGUACACACCGCCCGUCACCCUCUUCAAAUACCUUAUUCAUCAGAAGAGGCAAGUCGUAACAUGGUAAGCGUACUGGAAAGUGCACUUGGACAACAAAAUGUAGCUUAACUAAAGCAUCCCGCUUACACCGAGAUAGAUGUCAAUAAACAGACCAUUUUGAGCCUAAACACUAGCCCCCCCAACUAUCUACCACACCACUACAAACAAAACAUUUUUACCAUUAAGUAACGGCGAUUAAAAAAUGACUAAGAGCUAUAAAAAUAGUACCGCAAGGGAAUUUUGAAAUAAAAUGAAAAACCUAAAGCACAACACAGCAAAGCCAAAAUCUUGUACCUUUCGCAUCAUGGUCUAGCCAGUUUAACCAAGCAAAACGCAUUAAAGUUUGACCCCCCGAAACUAAGCGAGCUACUUUAAAACAGCCUCUAAGGGCCAACCCGUCUCUGUAGCAAAAGAGUGGGAAGAUUUUAAAGUAGAGGUGACACACCUAUCGAGCCUAGAGAUAGCUGGUUAUUCAGGAAAAGGAUUUUAGUCCCCCUUUAAGUUUCUUAAUUAUCCCUAAACACCUAACAAACUUAAAAGCCACUCAAAUAGGGUACAGCCUACUUGAACCAGGAAACAACCUCUAACACAGGGUAAUGAUCUUCUACAUGUGACUAAGUAGGCCUAAAAGCAGCCAACUUCCAAAUAGCGUCCAAGCUUUACCACCAACCAUUACUAAUACCAUCAUUUCCACACAACCCCCAACCUAUACUGAAUGACCCCAUACCUAUAUGGGACACAUUAUGCUAGAACUAGUAACAAGAAGAAAAACUUCUCCAAAAUUUAAGCGUAAGCCAAAAUGAACAAUUCACCGGCACUCAUCGCCAUCAGACCUACAGUACCAACCCCACAAGAAAACCCUACUAUACCUGGCGUUAACCUUACACUAGCCAAUUACUGGAAAGAUUGAAAAAGGAGGAAGGAACUCGGCAAAUAUUAGCCCCGCCUGUUUACCAAAAACAUCGCCUCUUGACAAACUAUAAGAGGUCUAGCCUGCCCAGUGACCAAAAGUUAAACGGCCGCGGUACCCUAACCGUGCAAAGGUAGCACAAUCACUUGUUCUUUAAAUUAGGACUAGUAUGAACGGCCCCACGAGAGCUAUACUGUCUCCCCCCUUAAAUCAGUGAAACUGAUCUCCCCGUGAAGAAGCGAGGAUAUCCAUAUAAGACGAGAAGACCCCAUGGAACUUUAACACUUGUACCACUGCCCAUGCUUACACCAACUACCCGGCAAAUAUGGCUACAAGUCUUUCGGUUGGGGCGACCACGGAGAAAAGCCAAACCUCCAUGAUGAAAAUACAUUAAUUAAAGAGCCACUGCUCUAAAAUCAAUAAAUUGACAUAAUUUGACCCAAACACUUUGAUCAACGAACCAAGCUACCCUGGGGAUAACAGCGCAAUCCAUUUCAAGAGACCCCAUCGACAAAUGGGCUUACGACCUCGAUGUUGGAUCAGGGUAUCCCAGUGGUGCAGCCGCUACUAACGGUUCG
rnacentral:ncRNA from 1 species